rnacentral:misc_RNA from 1 species
GUGUUUUCUGGAUCCGCGAGAAUGGAAACAAAACAGUGUUAUUAGUUAUCGAUUAGGACUUAAUCAAUAAUUAAGGCUGUUUAAAUCUUUCCCAGUACUGUUUCCAGGACCAGGAGACGGGGCCGUUAGUUACCUAUAUCCCACAAAAGAAGCCACCGCUUUAUAGAUUCCUGUACCUCCUAGAAAUAUAAAGCUAUUUGAGCGCUUCCAUGAGAAAAUUCUGCUGAGACCCAGAGACUUAGAACCCAAGAAAAGGUUUUCCUGAUCAAAAUCUUCGUGUUUCCCAUCUGGGUUUUUAAAUUUUCGAGCUUUCGUCGAUCAGAACGGCUCGCUUUGUUUAAUUUGUUGUUUUCAUCCAUGUUUUUAUUUUCAAUUCUUAAUCUAUAAGUUUCCAUUCCUAUUUUUUACCAAUUGACUAUUUCACUACCCAGGUUUUUCGAGGCGGAGGUGUUAAAUCUGGCCUUGGACCUUUUUUCUUCCAAUCGGUUGUAUUCGAUCUGAAGCUAACUAGUAUAGCGUAAAUAUGAGGGAAAAGCUAUGGUUUUUAUUGUGUGUGUGGCUUUUGCUGUGUGGGUCUUGCUUGGGUAGGUUUGUGGUUGAGAAGAACAGCUUGAAAGUGACUGUUCCAGAUUCAGUGAAGGGGGUGUAUGAAUGUGCAAUUGGCAAUUUUGGGGUUCCUCAGUAUGGAGGGACUUUAGUUGGCACUGUGAUUUAUCCAAAAGCCAACCAGAAGGCCUGCAAGGGAUUCGAUGAGGUUGAUAUCUCCUUCAAAUCGAAGCCUGGAGGUCUACCCAUUUUUCUCCUUGCCGAUCGAGGAGAUUGUUACUUCACCCUGAAGGCCUGGAAUGCACAGAAUGGUGGAGCAGCUGCUAUUCUGGUUUCAGAUGACAAGAAUGAACAAUUGAUUACAAUGGACAACCCCGAAGAAGAAAAUGCAGAUGCUGAUUAUCUGCAAAAGAUAAACAUUCCGUCUGCUCUAAUCAGCAAGUCCUUGGGAGACAGUAUCAAGAAGGCUCUGUCCGGUGGGGAGAUGGUUAACAUAAAUCUUGAUUGGACGGAAGCUCUUCCACAUCCUGAUGAGCGUGUUGAAUAUGAGUUCUGGACAAAUAGCAAUGAUGAGUGUGGACCAAAGUGUGACAGCCAGAUGGAGUUUGUCAGGAACUUCAAAGGUGCAGCUCAGAUACUUGAGCAGAAGGGUUACACUCAAUUCACCCCACACUAUAUAACAUGGUAUUGUCCGGAAGCAUUCAUUCUGAGCAAACAAUGCAAAUCCCAGUGCAUAAACCAUGGUAGGUACUGUGCUCCAGAUCCUGAGCAGGACUUUAGUCGAGGAUAUGAUGGAAAAGAUGUUGUGGUUCAAAAUCUACGUCAAGUUUGCUUCUUUAAAGUGGCCAACGAAAGCGGGAAGCCAUGGCUCUGGUGGGAUUAUGUGACUGACUUUGCAAUCCGUUGUCCAAUGAAAGACAAGAGAUACACCAAAGAAUGUGCAGAUCACGUAAUUGAAGCUCUUGGUGUUGACCUCAAGAAGAUAGACAAAUGUAUAGGUGACACUGAGGCAGAUGCGGAAAACCCAGUUCUUAAAGCUGAACAAGAUUCCCAGAUUGGAAAAGGCUCUCGUGGAGAUGUGACUAUACUGCCAACUCUUGUCAUUAACAACAGACAGUAUAGAGGAAAGUUGGAUAAAGGAGCAGUUCUUAAGGCUAUUUGUGCAGGUUUCCGAGAGACUACAGAGCCAGCCAUAUGUUUAAGUAAAGACAUAGAAACCAAUGAGUGUUUGGAGAACAAUGGUGGGUGCUGGCAGGACAAGGCCGCUAACCUUACUGCAUGCAAGGAUACUUUUCGGGGAAGAGUAUGUGAAUGUCCUGUGGUACAAGGAGUGAAGUUUGUUGGUGAUGGUUAUACCCAUUGUGAAGCUUCGGGUGCUUUACGUUGUGAAAUUAACAAUGGAGGAUGCUGGAAGAAAACCCAAGAUGGCAGGACAUUUUCUGCUUGUGUUGAGGAUCAUUCACAAGGUUGCAAGUGUCCUCCAGGAUUCAAGGGUGAUGGAGUCGACUCCUGCGAGGAUGUGGAUGAAUGCAAAGAGAAGACGGCCUGCCAAUGCCCAGAAUGCAAAUGCAAAAAUACAUGGGGCAGUUAUGAGUGCAGCUGUGGUAGUGGUUUAUUGUACAUGCGAGAACAUGACACUUGCAUAAGUGAGUCUUCUCGGAGCAAUUUCAUCACUCUUGUUUGAUAAAUGAUUAUGGUGAACUCUUGCCGAUAGAAUUAAUUGUUCCUUGUGCAACUAAAAUUUUGCUAGACGCUAGUUGCCAAUCUCGUGAAUUUUUAUCUUCGAGUUACCAAUUCUUUUUUCAUACUUGAUGAAUGAUGUAAUGGUAGGAAAUAGAUGAUCCUCUAUUAACUAAGCAAAUGCACUUGGUUUAUUUUGGAAUUUUUUGUACUACAAUUGCUCCUUACACCUGGCAGGCUGGCACCAUUUAUAAAAUGAAUAUGCCAUUUGAAAAUAUGGUUAUCUCGAGUAGAACCCAUCUUUAAGUGUUCUAAUUUUAGGUUAUGUUGGAGCUGGGGCUCCUUGUUUAUUGGUCUGUUUGAGUUUUUGAUGUUACUUGGUUAUUGCUAAUAAAAGUCUGUUGCUCUUGUGUUUGCCACACUGAAUCUUUAUCAUGAUAAUUCAGGUAAAGAUGCCAACACAGAGGUCAGCUGGAGCUUUGUUUGGAUUAUUAUUCUUGGCUUGGCUGCUGCUGGAGUUGCUGGAUAUGCUAUUUACAAGUACAGAAUUCGGAGAUACAUGGAUUCAGAGAUACGGGCUAUCAUGGCACAGUACAUGCCCUUGGACAAUCAAGGAGAGAUUCCUGUACAUCACGCACACCGCGGGGACAUCUGAUAACAAGGAUCAUAUAUUCAAAUUCUGAGGUGCUUUAUCAGCUUAUUUAAUCGGUGAUUGUAAGGUGUGUAAGUUCAGUCGAUGUUUUAUCAUGUAGCUUCUCUCAUGCUUAUAUGUAAAUUUAAGUUAUAUAGUGGCGCACAUAAUUCCAGGACCGCUGUAAAAAUUUUCCAUGGGAUAUUGUAAGAUUACUUGGUUCUGCAUUUGGACUACUUUUCUCACUUGCAUUUCUUAUUUGGAUUCGUUUUACGCUUAUAAUUUUGUUAAUUUAAUCGUUUACCUUUCAUUAAAGAAAACUAGACCAAGAUAACUAAAUUUUAAAGAUGAUGUUAUUUGUUACCAUGUUUGGAUUAUGGGGGAAAGGGGAGGCGUUUCUCUCGUGGAGAUUUUGAUAGGAGAAGAUUUUUACUUUGUAUUGUAUGUUAUGCUUGAGAAACUAUUGAGUAUGGUAAAAGGAAAG